CCAGACUCCUACGGGAGGCAGCAGUGAGGAAUAUUGGUCAAUGGACGCAAGUCUGAACCAGCCAUGCCGCGUGCAGGAAGACGGCUCUAUGAGUUGUAAACUGCUUUUGUACGAGGGUAAACGCAGAUACGUGUAUCUGUCUGAAAGUAUCGUACGAAUAAGGAUCGGCUAACUCCGUGCCAGCGGCCGCGGUAAUACGGAGGAUUCAAGCGUUAUCCGGAUUUAUUGGGUUUAAAGGGUGCGUAGGCGGUUUGAUAAGUUAGAGGUGAAAUACCGGUGCUCAACACCGGAACUGCCUCUAAUACUGUUGAACUAGAGAGUAGUUGCGGUAGGCGGAAUGUAUGGUGUAGCGGUGAAAUGCUUAGAGAUCAUACAGAACACCGAUUGCGAAGGCAGCUUACCAAACUAUAUCUGACGUUGAGGCACGAAAGCGUGGGUAGCAAACAGGAUUAGAUACCCCAGUA
rnacentral:rRNA from 1 species